rnacentral:lncRNA from 1 species
UAUUUUUUUGGAUCCGCCACUAGUUAGAAAAUCCUUGAACCAUGUCGGAAACAUGGUCAAGAGAAGAAAAAACAGCUUGCAAUUGCAUGAAUGUUCGUGUGGAAGAGUGACUUUAUUUCAAAUCAGAUUUUGAAACUUCUCUUUAGACAAAGCAUGUAUGCUUUUACCAACUUACGCAUGAUCUGAUAUGAUCCCGUAACACUUCGCGCAUGAUCUUAUGAUCCUACGUUUGUCAUGACGUGGGUCCCACUUGCACUUCUCAAUAAAAAUUCUCGUGCACGGAUGCACUUCUCUGCAUGCUAGAAUACACAGUUCUAACUUCUAUAGCAUGCUAGAAUACACAGUUCUAACUUCUAUAGCAUGCAUACGUCAAAACUCCGGCUAUUGGCAAGUGAGCACAAAGGUGGAGCUCCCAAUCUCUGUUCGAACUCCCAUGUAUAUAUUUGUUGAAGUUAUCGACUCUGUUUUGCCGUAUAGUUUGACAUGAGCAAUGCCGACCAUGGACAGUGCGAGGUGUGCGCAUGCACAGGCCCCAGAAAAUCAGGGGCCUCCGAAAAAUGAUUUUGGUCCAAGAGCUAUUAUAAUGUAAUAGGCCAUUGUGCUGAAAAUGUGUGUUUUCUUUUGAGUUAAAUGGUCCAACCCAAUAUUUAGGCCUCGUUUAAUACGUUAUAUAUGGAUUGGAUAGAAUAUCUAAUAUGAAUGCAAUUGUUUGGUGCAGUUAUAUACUAAAUAGUACCCAAAUUAUUAAGCUGACCCACUUGUUUUUUACGGCUCACGUUGUAUAACUUCUACACCCCAAAACUUAUGUAUUAUUAGUUGGGUAGGAAAAAUAUGCUCGCUAUCUCCGCCCCUCUCUCAUGAAUCUAGCCUGGUCUGGGUUCUCGUUGCCGUCGUUCUUCUUCUUCUUCUUAUUCUCUUUCUCUCAAUCAGAUUCACGCUGCCCUUAUCUUCCUUCUCCAUUCAAAGCUUCGAAUCAUCCUUCCUCAUCUUCUUUUCCAACCCAAGAAAACAUGCAUGCAGCAUUCACUUCUGUUGUGCAAACAUUAAGUAUUUCCUGUAAAGCAUAAAUCACGUUGUUUCAAAGUCUCCCAUAAAAAGAAGAAGAUGUAGCAAAUUAAAAGCCACGUUGAAUAUGGAGUGUCGUGGCCACAACGUACUCUAUAAGAAAUAAGAAUUCUGGAGACAAAUGAAAUCAACUUCUAUAUCUUAUCUUGUUCUUAGUGGCCUCUGUUUGGGUUGAAACUUAAACUUUGGGCUUAGAAGGGAGUUGGCCCAAAAAGAAAAGGAAAAGCCCGAAGCUCAGCCUAGACCUAGAAAGCAGAAGGGGCCUUUCCCG